rnacentral:lncRNA from 1 species
UAUUAACUUCCCGAUUUCUACACAUGUCUGAAGGAUUGUACAAGCAAGAAUGUCCACUUGUGCAAGCAGCACAGAGUGGAAACAAAUUGAUCUUUGUAGAAAGUAAAAGUAAAAGAGCAGAUGAAGUGUGAUCUCAUGUCUUGUAUGGCUGCUGAGUUAAAACGUCCAAAACUGAAGUCAAAGUGGCCAACUUGGUUGAAAGCAAGAAACUCCUCCAUACCCUUCUCUCUUAUACCUCCCUAACUCUUUUGCCUCUGAUGCUCUUGCUCUCUGCCACAAAUUAAAAAAAUUCAAGAUGAAUAUAAUAUAAUAUACUUUGAAUUUGAUCAUUCAGUGACACAACUACUCAUACCCUUUUCCACUAUCAAACAUACUUCAUGUUCACCAUCUCUUAGAUUCAUUCUUAUCCAUCCAAACAGUUUGCACAUACAUGAAUUAAGAGGUUUUCAUGCUUAUUAAUUAAAUACCACAAAAAAGCACCUUUCGUUAAAGCAACACAAAGCUUUAUUUUACAUUAAAUAAGACCUUGAAAACUUUAGAAGUAGGUACCUGCAUUGUUUCUAAAGCAUCUGUCUCGGAAUUGAAGUCAUAAAAGGUACUUGCUGCAGUAAGCUUCAGAGAAAGGAACUGCAAAAAAGCCAAACGUGGAUUGCUAUUAAUAUUAGUAAGGCCGUGUUGAAACAUAAAAGUAUCUUUUCUAACAACAAAUGAACACCAUCUUUUUCAAAAAGAAAUUUUGAUCACUUACCUCUACUUGAUGCUGCAGGGACUGCACAUAGUUUAUGAUUUCGUCCAACAUUACUGCCAUACCCAUGGUCUGCAAACAUUAAUUUAAAAGUUGAAAUAUGAGAGUUUGGUUCAUGAAGUUGCACACAGAUUGGAGCUUUUGAAGGAAACAUGUCUCUACCUUGUAACAUCCCGGAACAAUAUUCUGUAAGCACCUUAGUUUCUCAUUGAUUUUCCCUCUUCUAACCUGAACAACAAUAAAUGAUAUACAAAUAUGCAUCAGUCCACGUUCAACACCAUCAAACAGAAAACAAAAGUAGCCAAAGUGAGAUUCAAUAUGUUAUUUGAUUCUUUCAUUUUUUUUUUUAACUUGUGUUGGUAUUUAACAAAUCUUUCUUGGUUCUUUAGAAAAUGAAGUUAGGAAUUAUAUAUAUACACACACCCUUUCUGCUAAACUGUGACUAUCUGUAGCUUGACCUCUUCUGGCUCUCACAUGGACCACUUCCUUUGCUUUCUCUUCUUCUGUCACAUUGCUUUUUGCUCUCUUUCCUUUUCCAGAACUCUGAAAUUAUUCACAAAACAAAAACCAAACUCAGUCUUGCUCUUGCAUAUAUAUUUUCAAACAAAUUAUUAUCCAACACAUGCAAGUGAAAAAAGAAGAAAAAUUUACUUGUUUUAUCUUGCUUCCAGUCUCAGAAACUGCAGGAGUUGAGUUAGCCGAACUGGUCUCUGGAAGAUCCACCGAUUUCCUCUUUUUACCUUCAUGGAUCUCAUUUUCUGCUUGG